rnacentral:tRNA from 1 species
GCGCUUGUUCGCGGUUGUCACCGCAAAACCGCUGACUCUUAAUCAGCGGGUCCACAGUUCGAUCCUGUGCACACCCACCA